rnacentral:lncRNA from 1 species
AACUAAAAGGCCAAAAAUUAGAGAAUAAUAAAAAAAAUCAGAGAAAGAAAAAGAAAAUGAAAUUGCGCAGCUAAAAUUAAAUUGCACUAUUUUAAAAAAACGUUUUACUAUUAUGGACGUAAGUUGCAUUCUUUGAAAUGUAAACUGCACCAUUUAAGAUAAAAGUUACACUCUUUAAACGAAAGUUGCUGAAUACGAGAUGAAUUUUUCUGCUCGGUAUUUUAACGAGCUAGCUCGUGUUCAGCUUGUUGACACCCCUACUUGAGAAACAUGUUAUUAUAGAGAAUAUAAUAAACUGUUUUGGACGGAAAAAUUAGAAUAGUGCGAAUAAAGAUGAAUUAUAAUAGAAAAUAUAGAUACAAGCUAUUAAUUAAUU